GCUCCCAUAGUCUAGAGGCCCCUUUUCUUUGAAAAGAAAAGGCCCCUGGGUUCAAAUCCGGCCAAACACGACGAAACGUUGUUUCGUCUCCGGUUAUGGAUGUCGGCCUUUCGAGCCGAAGACUCGGGUUCAAAAGGCCUUUCUUUCUUAGCAAGAAAGAAACCCCUGGGAAAGAGAAAACAGACGAGCUCUGCUCGUCAAUUGGCUUGGGGUGACGCGCUAUCAGCGUCAGACUGUGAAAAUCCCGGUGGGAGCA
rnacentral:tRNA from 1 species